AGCGAACAGUGUCCCUGAAUUAAUCCGUUCUCGUGCUACUAAUAAAGGCAUACCAGAGACUGGGUAAUUUAUAAAGAAAAAAGUUCCACUACUGCCCGGGCAGGAAAUGCAGAUUCACUGAUCAGUUUCCUCACCUGUGAAACAAGAGAGCAAAUCUCCAGCCCUCCAGACAAUUAAUUACAGAAGUCACAAUUAUGGCGUGCCCCCUCCUCCUUGAUCAUCCAGCCAGAACCAUCUUGUUGCUCCUUUUUUUAUGAACUCACAAAGUUUCAUCAAUUGAGUGUCCUAUGCCUCUUGCAGACCAGAUUAAUGAUCAU
rnacentral:lncRNA from 10 species